rnacentral:rRNA from 1 species
AACGAACGCUGGCGGCAUGCCUAACACAUGCAAGUCGAACGAUGCUUUCGGGCAUAGUGGCGCACGGGUGCGUAACGCGUGGGAAUCUGCCCUUGGGUUCGGGAUAACCGUCGGAAACGACGGCUAAUACCGGAUGAUGACGUAAGUCCAAAGAUUUAUCGCCCAGGGAUGAGCCCGCGUAGGAUUAGCUAGUUGGUGGGGUAAAGGCCUACCAAGGCGACGAUCCUUAGCUGGUCUGAGAGGAUGAUCAGCCACACUGGGACUGAGACACGGCCCAGACUCCUACGGGAGGCAGCAGUGGGGAAUAUUGGACAAUGGGCGAAAGCCUGAUCCAGCAAUGCCGCGUGAGUGAUGAAGGCCUUAGGGUUGUAAAGCUCUUUUACCCGGGAUGAUAAUGACAGUACCGGGAGAAUAAGCCCCGGCUAACUCCGUGCCAGCCGCCGCGGUAAUAC